CUACACGACAAACAAUUUUGUUAAAGAAUUGAAAAGUAUUGGUAUGGCCAUGUCUCAAUAACGACUAUCUCGUUCAGCGGUGUUAUAAUUUCCUAUACCCCCUGAACGCAUCAACUGACUUGUCAAACGCCGCUUGUUGAAACCAGCGGGAAACCCUCCCAAACCCCCGAGCCCGCUUACCUUGUUCAGACUCCCGUCUGACGUGCCCGUGAGCCAUGGCGUUGCCUCUUUAAAUAGAGCGACUGCUGAGCCGUUGUGAACGCAACAAGUGGAUCCGGAACACCGGCCGCGCCGCGGGGCUCCGCUCUGACGUUUAUGAGGAGCGGGAGUCUCCUUAUCAGCGGGUCACUGGCAGUGAUACAAAGCUCAGCACCUCACAAUGACUCAGCUGCUGGAGCAGAGGGCUGACAGCAGGCUUCAUUUUAUGGACAAUAAGAAUUAAAAUCAAUCAAAAUGUCAAAAUCUUUGCUGGCAAACAACAACUAGAAGGAAAAUUUGAGCUGCAAAUUAACUUUAUGAAGACUUUGUUCUCAUUAAAAAAACAAUUAAACUAAUCAGACAUUAGAAAAUAUUAAUAUAAUAAUAAUAAUAAUCAGUAUUCAAUAUCA